rnacentral:rRNA from 1 species
ACAGCUAGGAUGUUGGCUUGGAAGCAGCCAUUCAUUUAAAGAGUGCGUAACAGCUCACUAGUCGAGCGGUCCGGCAUGGAUAAUAAUCGGGCAUAAACAUAUUACCGAAGCUAUGGAUUUGUAUUUUUCGAAUACAUCUGGUAGGAGAGCAUUCUAUUUGCUUAGAAGCAGUACUGUGAGGUAUUGUGGAGCGUAUAGAAAAGAAAAUGUAGGCAUAAGUAACGAUAAAGCGGGCGAGAAACCCGCUCACC